rnacentral:rRNA from 1 species
UACGAAGGGGGCUAGCGUUGUUCGGAAUUACUGGGCGUAAAGCGCACGUAGGCGGAUAUUUAAGUCGGGGGUGAAAUCCCGGGGCUCAACCCCGGAACUGCCUUCGAUACUGGGUAUCUUGAGUUCGGAAGAGGUGAGUGGAAUUGCGAGUGUAGAGGUGAAAUUCGUAGAUAUUCGCAGGAACACCAGUGGCGAAGGCGGCUCACUGGUCCGAUACUGACGCUCAGGAGCGAAAGCGUGGGGAGCGAUCCGG